rnacentral:rRNA from 1 species
GACGAACGCUGGCGGCGUGCUUAACACAUGCAAGUCGAACGGAAAGGCCCUGCUUUUGUGGGGUGCUCGAGUGGCGAACGGGUGAGUAACACGUGAGUAACCUGCCCUUGACUUUGGGAUAACUUCAGGAAACUGGGGCUAAUACCGGAUAGGAGCUCCUGCUGCAUGGUGGGGGUUGGAAAGUUUCGGCGGUUGGGGAUGGACUCGCGGCUUAUCAGCUUGUUGGUGGGGUAGUGGCUUACCAAGGCUUUGACGGGUAGCCGGCCUGAGAGGGUGACCAGCGACCUUGGGACUGAGAUACGGACCAGACUCCUACGGGAGGCAGCAGUGGGGAAUAUUGCACAAUGGGCGGAAGCCUGAUGCAGCAACGCUGCGUGCGUGAUGACGGCCUUCGGGUUGUAAACCGCUUUCGCCUGUGACGAAGCGUGAGUGACGGUAAUGGGUAAAGAAGCACCGGCUAACUACGUG